AGUUACAAUAUCUACCAGCAGGGGCUAACUGUGCAGCCAAACCUGUAACUAGGAAGAAAACAUUAUCCUCCAGGAAGUGACAUCAUCAUUUUAGAGGGAAAACAGAAGGCACAAAUAUUAAAUCUCGUGUGAAGCGUUGUUAAUUGAGAGCCUCCCGAGACCCCUGCUAGUUUGAGAAGAACCAAACGAAAUGGGAUUGUUGUCUUGGGAACAGCAGAGGAGAUGGGAAGAGCCCAGGGGAGACGCAUUGAAGAGCGGAGGCCAGGCAGGCCAUGACAGCGCUGCUACAAACCUUUUAGGCUGUCUGCUCGCAGCUCAGACUCUAUUGGAUUUGGCUCAUGUGCCCCGUCUAACGCUUUGAGAGCUGCACUAAUGUGCUGUCAGCCGUUCCACACACACUCCCUCUGGUGUGAUGCGCUCUCCCGUCUGGACAACUGUUGCGUCUGCCAAAUUUGACCAGGACCCAGACGAGGGCUUCGACACAAGUAACUGAGCACCUGCUGGUAUGAUCCUCAUCUUCA